UUGACCUUGAAUCAAGGUCAGCAGUUUGCUGAAGUGAUUGUUUCAAGCAGAAGCCUGAAGAAAUCUCUAUCUAUGAUCUGUUGGCCACUUCAGAACUUUCGUAAUGGAAUGGUCAACUCAUUAGAAAGAAACAUUU
ensembl:snoRNA